rnacentral:misc_RNA from 1 species
UACGGAGGGUGCGAGCGUUAAUCGGAAUUACUGGGCGUAAAGCGCGCGUAGGCGGCGAUGUAAGUUGGAGGUGAAAUCCCCGGGCUUAACCUGGGAACUGCUUUCAAAACUGCAUGGCUAGAGUACGGUAGAGGUGAGUGGAAUUUCCUGUGUAGCGGUGAAAUGCGUAGAUAUAGGAAGGAACACCAGUGGCGAAGGCGGCUCACUGGACCGAUACUGACGCUGAGGUGCGAAAGCGUGGGGAGCAAACAGG